rnacentral:rRNA from 1 species
AACGAACGCUGGCGGCAUGCCUAACACAUGCAAGUCGAACGAGACCUUCGGGUCUAGUGGCGCACGGGUGCGUAACGCGUGGGAACCUGCCCUUAGGUUCGGAAUAACUCCCCGAAAGGGGUGCUAAUACCGGAUAAUGUCUUCGGACCAAAGAUUUAUCGCCUUUGGAUGGGCCCGCGUUGGAUUAGCUAGUUGGUAGGGUAAAAGCCUACCAAGGCGACGAUCCAUAGCUGGUCUGAGAGGAUGAUCAGCCACACGGGGACUGAGACACGGCCCAGACUCAUACGGGAGGCAGCAGUGGGGAAUAUUGGACAAUGGGCGAAAGCCUGAGCCAGCAAGGCCGCGUGAGUGAUGAAGGCCUUAGGGUUGGAAAGCUCUUUUACCCGGGAUGAUAAUAACAGUACCGGGAGAAUAAGCUCCGGCUAACUCCGUG